rnacentral:rRNA from 1 species
UCGCUUCGGGAUGGGCUCGCGGUCCAUCAGCUAGUUGGUAGGGUAAUGGCCUACCAAGGCUACGACGGAUAGCCGGCCUGAGAGGGUGUACGGCCACAGGGGCACUGAGAUACGGGUCCC